UACGGAGGGUGCAAGCGUUAUUCGGAUUUACUGGGCGUAAAGGGCGCGUAGGCGGUCAGAUAAGUCAGAUGUGAAAGCCCGGGGCUCAACCCCGGAAGUGCAUUUGAAACUGUCUGGCUUGAGUAUGGUAGAGGGAAGUGGAAUUCCUGGUGUAGCGGUGAAAUGCGUAGAUAUCAGGAGGAACACCGGUGGCGAAGGCGACUUCCUGGACCAAUACUGACGCUGAGGCGCGAAGGUGUGGGGAGCAAACAGG
rnacentral:rRNA from 1 species